GAUGAACGCUGGCGGCGUGCCUAAUACAUGCAAGUCGAGCGAACGGACGAGAAGCUUGCUUUUCUGAUGUUAGCGGCGGACGGGUGAGUAACACGUGGAUAACCUACCUAUAAGACUGGGAUAACUUCGGGAAACCGGAGCUAAUACCGGAUAAUAUUUUGAACCGCAUGGUUCAAAAGUGAAAGACGGUCUUGCUGUCACUUAUAGAUGGAUCCGCGCUGCAUUAGCUAGUUGGUAAGGUAACGGCUUGCCGAGGCAACGAUGCAUAGCCGACCUGAGAGGGUGAUCGGCCACACUGGAACUGAGACACGGUCCAGACUCCUACGGGAGGCAGCAGUAGGGAAUCUUCCGCAAUGGGCGAAAGCCUGACGGAGCAACGCCGCGUGAGUGAUGAAGGUCUUCGGAUCGUAAAACUCUGUUAUUAGGGAAGAACAUAUGUGUAAGUAACUGUGCACAUCUUGACGGUACCUAAUCAGAAAGCCACGGCUAACUACGUG
rnacentral:rRNA from 1 species